rnacentral:sRNA from 1 species
AUCGCGUAAAAUAGCUCCUUGUAUUCAAAUGAUGCUAGAAGCUAAAAAGAAUAAAUUGAGUAAUAGUUUCAAGUGGUUAUAUUUGGACAAAAAUUAGAUCAUAACUU